AUAUUUAUAUUUUAUAUCGCACACGCAUUAUGAUUCUACGAUAAAUAAUAUUCUUUGAUACGAACAAUAUCGUUCUUACGAUAAUAGCCUUUUAAAACUUUUACAAUUUUUCAUUGGAAAAUAACUCAUCUAGAAAGAUAAAUCGAUUGUUCCCCUUUAAAGCUGUUCACUAGUCAUACUUUUAUAAUGCUUUACGCCAACAAAGAAAUUUGAAAAAAGUCUUUUUUUUAUGAAUAAAUUAAUCUCGAAAAAACUUAUUAACAUUUGCCUUAUCUUGCAAUUAUUCAUCGUUCGUUUCUGGUUUCGAGACCGUCCAUGAUGCAUCAUUGACGAGCAAAUCGCAAUACUCGUUAUAAACCUCAUAAAUGCAAGAUAUUGCGUCAUAGUGAUGUAUGUCACGUACGUUCAAAAUACAUGAAUUUGCUCGGAAAUCAAAAUUGACUAGACGCGUUUUAUUUGACCGUGAAUCAUCAUGACAAAGUCAUUCAUUAUUUAAUAUGAAAUAAAGGAAAGGUCACAGAUAAAUACAAAGCAAACGAUACGCGUAGUUUAAUAUCGGCAACAAACUUUAUUAUUGUUUGGUUUUUAUCUUUUGACUUUGGUUAGAUCAUUAUCGAUCGUCUUAAUAUGUAGCUUCUUAAGACAUAGAUUAGUUUGUGUACAGCAGUCAUACGGUUUAGUUCAGUGCUCGAGUAUCUCUCGUACAUUUAUAUACUUUUAAAUGAAACGUAUUUAUUGCGCGAUUUAAAUAUUAUCUUGAUAUCAUUUUUCACCGUAAGUAUUUAAAUCGACAUAAUAAAAAGAUCACACGUGUGUAUGUAAAUAGAUAGGAAAACGAUAUAAUGAAAACUAUUUAAAGAGAACGAGUUCGACGCUUGGCUAUCUAUACCGAUUAAUAAUUAUUUUACUCCACGUUCGCACGUCUAUCAACGUCUAUCACUAUUAAUUCUAAUGAGAAACCUCUUCGGUGUAGGGAAAUACAAAUGAAACUAUUUGAAAUGAACGUACAUAUAUAUAUCUCAUUGUUCGAGAAGCAAUUCGAAACAAAUAAAUUUUUAAGUUCGUAUGAAUAAAAUAAAAGGAAAAAGUUUAAAAAGUAGAAAUAAAAGAUUAAAGAAUUUCGAGGAAAAUUCUUGAUACGUUGUUAUUUUCAAAGAACGCUUAAAAUGUACUUUUCAAGAAAAGGAAGAAAUAUGAAGAAAGAAAGCUAAGAAAAAGUCAAGAGAGAAAAGGAGUCGCAUUCGUGUAUUCUUUAAACGAAAAACCUAUUUCUCCAAAAUGGCCUAGAGUUUUAUAGCAUGGUAGGUAACCAACUCUCUUCCCUACUGACUCAUAAACUAUGAGAAAAUGGCUUGAAGAAAAAUAGCAUCAUCGAAGAAGAAGAAGAAGAAGAAGAAAUAGAUAUCCACGGACGAGGAUAGAAUGUUAGUCGGUCACCGGCACGUACCUACCAAUAAGAAGUUGUGACGUAUCAACGGAAGCUAUGCGCCUCGAUGUUCAGCGAACCGAAACACGAUCGUGCCUCGUAUCCAGAUCGUGUCGCGAAUAAUUGGACACCAUACGAAAGAUUCUCCAAGCGAUUUCAGGGACUACACGCGGAAAGAAUAAUAUCGUUAUCGAGAAAAAUAAAAUAAUUCGUGAUAAGACGUGAAAAAAAAAAAGAUUCAAGAAAAGCUCUCGCAUGUUGAAUUUUUCAAAUUGGAGUUAUAUUGUAUUAAAAUAUGUAUAUAUAUUAUAUACUUCAAUACAAUAUAACAAACUAGCAAACGGAAAUUGAAACGUUAGGAUAUCGUAAUAUGACGAUGAAGUGUUUGUGUUCGCAGAAAGUAGACCAUGAAAUGACUUAAUCCAUGUCAACUAACGACGAAGUAAUAAUAUUGGAAUGUUAUCUUAUCUGUAGUUGAACUGUAUGCCGUCUAACACAAAUUUCAACGAUAAAGCUCGUAAAUUCAUGGAAUGAGAUAUACAUGCGUGUACCGAUGGCUAUGAAAGUGGUCUAAGUAAUUUGAGAUAUUAAAAUAUGUAUGUCGUAACACGAUAUUCUUCAAAUUUUUUAAUUACGUAAAUAAUUAUUUUUCAAAAAUAAAUAUACUUUGUUUUA